AAGAAAAAAAAUAUUGAGAGCUCUGCUGCAAAAGCAGCAUUGAAAACAAAAAAAUCUGAACAGCUGAAUAAAGACCAUUUCAACCCCCACCCCCCAAUCCUCACAAAAAGAGCAAAUUUCUUAAAUUCAUCAUGCACCCACAGUACCAGCAAGUAAGUAUGGAGCACAAACAGCAUAAAAUGAGGUAAGCAAAGUUUUUAUAUGUUGUUUUACAUCUGUUUUUCCUUUUCAGGUGACUAACUGUAACUGUUGUGCAUUUCUGUCCAUUAGGUCAUGUGUUUAUGGAUGAAGAACUACAUCGGAUCACCAAACAUGUCCCGUUACAAAUCGGACACUAAAACCUGUUUUUACAAUAUUUGUUGACCCUUGAUGCCAUCGCACCAUCCUGACGACUUGCAUCCGGCCUCCAUACAACCUCUGAGCAUCACAUUUGCAUAGUGGAGAACGAAUUACCCAAUCAGAGCUGUAGCAGUCGGUGAUGUGGCUCUCCCACCUUGGUGCCUGUCGUGGAAGCUCAGCUAAUUGUGAAGAAUUCGAUUUGCUCUUGCAGUGUGCCAUGAAGCUCCGCUUUACCCCCACCAACUAAACCUCGCCCGGCCCAGCAAGGGGGCCCUUAAGUGGACGCUCGCCCCCUCCUACACGGCCUCAUGCUGCGCUCCUCUCCCAAUACCCCCUCCGUCGCUCGCUGGGACCUGAUCUCUCACCAUCAUACAGGCCUAAAGUGAGUGUGUGUGUGUGUGUGUGUGUAUCCCAUUCCUCCCCUAGUUAAAAUUUGACCGUUGACCUCUCUCUCGGUGUAAUAUAACAUUUUAAUAAGCUUUGUUGGUCAGUUCGUGUGUCGUUACUAUGGAGAUUGUCGUGGUGUGUGAGGGAUGUAAAUCGCGGUUCUUAAAUAGGCCUGUUUAAUCUGAGGGACCCCUGCAGCCUGACUACUCCGUAAUGAAGUGAUGUAUUUGUUAAACUCAGACUCAUCGAGAGCUGCGAGUCCACGAGGCCAAUGCAUUUCCGGCGGAAUAAACUGCGUAAUGCGUUUACCGCAGAAAACGUGGGCUAACUAGUUUAGAGCGUGUCAGAGCGCUUCUGCUAACGCGUUUACAUUGGCCCAGUCAUUUGUAAAGACUCUUUAAUCUGUAAUUUGUGUCAGUAAGAUAAAUGGGUUUAUUUCUUAACUGGUGAAGUGAAUGAUGUUUGACUCUGAAUCGAAAAUAAGGUGUGAAGUUAGCAUCAAGAGUUAUAUUUUUAGUCAUUUUAUUCUGAUUCGGGUCAUUAAUGUAUGCAAAAUCAUAAUUCGUCCUGCUUAUAUACAUUUAAAUGUAAUCCACAUCCAGUUCUGAUCAAAUGGGGAUUUAUUUAUUUGUUUGUUUCAUUAAAACGAUAACGGUGCCCAGUGUUUUUCGUAGCCUUCUGCUAGUGCUAAGAAAAAGUCUUUAAUAUUUUAUGUGAUCACAGGCCUCUAUAAGCAAAUUUCAGUCCCCGGCAAGUUCAGCCAAAACAUGAUUAAUUUAGUGUUUAUCCCCGACAUCCUCUAAAAAAA